GUCUACGGCCAUGCUACCCUGAAUAAGCCCGAUCCUGUCUGACCUCGGAAGCUAAGCAGGGUCGGGCCUGGUUAGUACUAGGAUGGGAGACCACCUAGGAAGACCAGGUGGUGUAGGUG
rnacentral:rRNA from 1 species